rnacentral:rRNA from 1 species
UACGUAGGGGGCGAGCGUUAUCCGGAUUUACUGGGCGUAAAGCGGGCGUAGGCGGCUUGUUAAGUCAGAUGUGAAAUCUCCCGGCUCAACUGGGAGGGUGCAUUUGAUACUGACGGGCUAGAGUGCAGCAGAGGAAGAUGGAAUUCCCGGUGUAGUGGUGAAAUGCGUAGAUAUCGGGAGGAACACUAGUGGCGAAGGCGGUCUUCUGGGCUGUAACUGACGCUGAGGUCCGAAGGCGUGGGGAGCAAACAGG